rnacentral:lncRNA from 10 species
ACACUUAGGAGGGAGAAGAGAGAAAUGAAAUUUAUUUAGCCCGAGGUCCCCACGCCAUGAAUGUGGCCAGCAGGGGGCUUCUCGUGCGGACGCUCAAAGCCGGAAGAGCCAGCAGGCACGGAAGCCCUCGUGGGAGCCGGGAGUUCCAUGGCGAGGCCCCCCGCUGCUGCCCCAAGAAACGCUUGGGUUUGAGAUCUCAGGAAACACGGAGAGCCCCCACUGCGAUGGUGACGGCCCUGGAGUGGGUGGUGCUAAGGAAAGGGCAGCACACCCUUGAGGGCGGGAAGUGAAUGGGUUGCCACAUUGUAAGAACACUCAAGAAGCCAUGCAGAGAGGGCCACAUGAUGAGGAAAUGAAGCCUUCUUCCAACAGCCGGCACCGACUUGCCAGCCAUGUGAGUGCACCAUUUUGGAAUCAAAUCUUCCACCUCUAAUUAGGCCUUCAGAUGGCUGCAGCCCUAGAUGACUUUUGACUACAAUUUCUUGAGACACCCUGAACCAGAACCACUCAGUUAAGCUGCUCCCAAUUUCCUGAUCCAUAGAAAUGGUGUAAGAUAAUAAAUGUUUAUCGUUGUUUUAAGCCACUAAAUUCAGAAGUAAUUUAUUCCAUAGGAACAGCUAAAAUAAAUACAGUAUAUCCAGA